CCCGGCGAUGUCAGGCCAGGGGGUCUGGCUGCGAGCCCGGGAGCGGCUGCGGCGCUUCCCCGAGCUGCUGGCGGGAUGUCGGGACCAGGCAAAGACGACAAUGAAGUGAAGGCAUUGGUAACAACGCAGGGGACUGGGAUCUAGAUUUACAGUCCUGACUGGUGUCUGUCCAGCUGUAAUCAGAUAGUUCCAGGACAGAAGAAUUUGCAUAAUCUAAAUUAAAUCAGAAGGAAAUGGGAGCCUAAUAAUGGAAUACUCAAUUCUAUUUCAUGCAACCUCUUCCCCCAGCUGUUUCAAACAAUGCAUGGUAAUAAAUGUUUGGAAACUUUUUUUAAAUAAAACUCCAAAAUCCGAGUCAGUGUUUUAAGACCUACUCUUUAUUCUACAGUUUAACUAGGCAGUCUGGAAAGGGUAGCAAAAACUGCACUAAAACUAAGCUUCUAUUCUAAUGAGUGGCUACACUCCCUUUGUUUGCUGCGGUACAUUUAGCCUACUCUGGGAUGGCCCUAUUGUUAUAGAGCUAGCGUUUGUCAUGUGGCUUUCCUGAGAAUUUAGGAUUCCAUCUCCCCUUCCCACAGGGUCCUAGGAACUGCUAGGGUGAGCAGAAAUGCAGAAUAGGUCACUUGAGAGAGGGUUCUGCUCUAGCUCACAGGAUUUCAUUAUCUCUGCCCAUAUUAUGACUAAUGCUUAAGUUCAGCUAAAGCCAUGGUAUGCUAAAGAGCUGCCCCACUACAGCUGGGAACCUUGCUGCUAAACCUCCACUUCCCAUGUGAAUACAGGCUUUCAGAUUGCAGCUUUGAAACCUAAGCACUGAAACUGCUAAGAAGAGGGAAGAAAUGGGCCAAGGUUACAGACCACGUCUGAGCUCUGCCUAAGCGGUUGGCAGAGCUCCUUAUCCUAGUGGCUCAUGUUAACCUCAAGGCUGCCGGGGCCCUCCCAGUAGUGCAAGGACAUUGGUUAAGUUUAGCGGAUUAACCACAGGGCUAGGGAGGAAAUGCUGGGUAUGAGGAUGAGCAAAUCCAAGCUGCAGCUUGAUAGAGGGUAGGAAGGUGCUAGCUAAUGAAAAGCACUCAGAUAAGAGCAGGUAUGAUCCUUGUCACUGCUUGGGGUGUGUGCACCCCCCUUUACACUGCUGUCACCCUGAAGCUAAAGAAUCAAAGUGGCAUUUCAUGAAAUCUCCCAUUUGGGGGGACACGGAGACCCUCACUGCUCUUUUCUCCACACACUAGCUGCAGCAAUGGCAGGGGGGGAUGCAGAAUGAGCAGAGUUUCCUUAAGGAUACAUUUAGGGCUUCAUUUGCAUCACUCCCGUCCCAUCCUGGACAGCAGGAACCACCCCCCAACAGCUGAGAGCAGCUUAACAGUGCUUGUUACAGCAAGAAGAGUUCAGAUCAAAAUGCUUUAACUUAUUUUAUUGAUUUGCCUGGCAUGGCCAGUCCUCAGCCUUUCCCUGAACACUGCAGAUACAAGCUGGUCCUAGCAUGGAGAAGUAAGAAGUUCCCUGUGUUUGUCCAGCUGGGAAUGUCUCAUUCACAACACUGGCCAAUUCCAGGUGCUGAGGAAUGUCAGAAUUAUCUUUUGUCCCUUUGUGGGCAGCAGGCACCUCAGCAGCAGCACGUAGUCACCCUAAACUGCUGCUCACAUGGUGUACGAGAAACAGUUUUCCCCAUGCCAGGCAGGAUCGCAACACGAAGCUGACGGGGCCAGGGGAGAUCUCUGUACACACAUUAGGUGCAAGCUGGGCUGAAGGGGGGUGCACAGGGAGUACUUAGUUCCCGCACCCAGAGCUCCCUUAUAGCUUUAAAGGGCUAGUUCUUGCUGCAGGGGGCAGAAUUUAGAUUUGGCCACUAGCAGAGGAGACUGUUGCACUGAAAGCAUGUGUGUGACCUUCACAAACACUAACAAUCACACAGAGGCUGUUCUAGGGCCUCCUGCCCCAGAGCAGACAUUACAAGAGUCCCAGAUACGGGUUAAUUGUGCUUUGAGACAGGGUCACGGGGGACUCUGGCUAUGGCAAUCCCAUCUACAACAGCCACCCUGGGAUGCAUGUGAACGCCCCCCUGAUGAUGUACAGCUGCCACAGACAUUUAAGCACUUCAAUAAUCAGCUGACUUUACAGACAGUCCUAAUACUGUUCUUCCCUUCUAGGAGCUGAGAGUUCUCUAGUCUGAAGGCAGAGUCAUUGCCCUCAGUGCCUCUCUCUCCAGCCCCCAUCACAGCAGUUACAUAGUUCCUGCCUCCAGGAGGUUGAUCUGAUAUGAACUAGAUGAGGCUGGGUUACCAGAGGACUCCAGUUUAAAAAGCCAGACAAAACCCAACACUGCUGAGGGCUAUAGGCUCCUGGUAGGGUGAAUGUCAAUCAAUCUAGUGAAAGCUGGGGGAUUUUUUUCUUGCAUUUGGCAAUCAAGGU